AGGCAGGGAACCUAAGGCUGAUUCAUGCUGACUUCCUAGAACUAAAUCAAAUGGAAACACUUCAUCUAGGACAGGAAACAUCCUCUCCAUUUACACAGGGCAUACAAUAAUUAACCAAUGGAAACCUCUAAAGGGUAUUUAAACCCCAGAAUAUUCUGUAACGAGGCUCUUGAGCCCUGUGUUUGCCUGCGCCCACCCUGUAGAGUGUACUUUCAUUUUUAAUAAAUCUCUGCUUUUGAUGCUUCAUUCUUUCCUUGCUUUGUUUGUGUGUUUUGUCCAAUUCUUUGUUCAAAACGUCAAGAGCCUGGACACCUUCAACUGGUAACAUAUUUUAGUGAACCAGCCAGGAGGUAAGCCCAAAGUUUGGGAUUUGUUUUUCUCCUUUCUCCUUUCCUUUCUGCUCUGUACAGGGGAUUCUCACUCUCUCUCUCUCUCUCUCUCUCUCUCUCUCUUUUUCCUUUCCUUUCCAAUUCAGGACCCUUGGUGAGCAGCACCUAAACACAGAGGCAGCUGCAAGCUUCCUACAUGUGGUGCAGCUCAGGGCGAACUCACAUGAAUUUCAGUUAAGCAGGACCCCUAAGGCUGCUCAGGGAGAAAGAACUCAGAAGUCUGACAUGCAGGAAAAAGGGUAAGAAUUUCUUACCAGUCAGACUCUGGCCUCUCAGUCUCUCUCUGUGCAAACUGGUUAAAUGAAUGGUAAAAGUUACCGUUUAUCUCCUCUGUAAAGUUUUGAUUAUACAAAAAGAAUUGUGAGGCUGGUCUUAAGCUAUAGUGAAUGUGGUGUGUUUUAUGUGUCUUUCCAUAUUGUUCUGUUAUAAAGAGGGGUACCUUAGGAUAAAAUGUGUGCCUAGGAUGCCAUAGGCUCACUAUUCAAGGCGUCCCAGCAAACUGAUCAGUCAUGUCCUUGAGAAGUUGACCUUGUAACCACAUGGCCAUGCUUUCUCUUUUCACAAUGGUGGACUGGGUUUAGGGUUCAAUUCCUGGGAAUGAGUCCUUUAUCUUCUGUCUGUCUGUGUAUUUAUAUGUGUUUUGUGUAUAAUAUAAAAGAGCUUUAAUUAUUAGUUUAAUGAUAAGAGUUUAAAUAUUUUGUCAGAAAAGUAAAAUGUGUAAUGCCUUUUAAUUUUUAUGUUUUUUGAGAUGGAGUCUCACUCUGUCACCCAGGCUGGAGUGCAGUGGCACGAUGUUGGCUCACUGUAACCUCCACCUCCUGGAUUCAAGUGACUUUCCUGUCUCAGCCUCUUGAGUAGCUAGGGCUACAAGUGUGAGCCACAAUGCCUGGCUAAUUUGGUAAUUUGAGUAGAGACAGAGUUUUACCAUAUUGUUCAAGCUGGUCUCAAAGUCAUGACCUCAGGUGAUCCACCCUCCUUGGCUUCCCAAAAUGCUGGGAUUACAGGUGUAAGCCUCCAUGCCCAGCCAUCCAACACCUUUUAUUUAGUUCAUGUGACUUAAUUAAUCUUUGGGAAACAAAGACAGUUUUAAAGAUUAUUGGUAAAAUAAAAAUAUCUUCAAAAAUGUAAACA
rnacentral:lncRNA from 13 species